UACGUAGGGUGCAAGCGUUGUCCGGAUUUAUUGGGCGUAAAGAGCGUGUAGGCGGCCAGGUAGGUCUGCUGUGAAAACUCGAGGCUUAACCUCGAGAUGUCGGCGGAAACCAUCUGGCUAGAGUCCGGAAGAGGAGAGUGGAAUUCCUGGUGUAGCGGUGAAAUGCGUAGAGAUCGGGAGGAACACCAGUGGCGAAGGCGGCACCCUGGACCAGCACUGACACUGAGGCACGAAAGCGUGGGGAGCAAACAGG
rnacentral:rRNA from 1 species